AGAGUUUGAUCAUGGCUCAGGACGAACGCUGGCGGCGUGCCUAAUACAUGCAAGUCGAGCGGACUUAAAAAGCUUGCUUUUUAAGUUAGCGGCGGACGGGUGAGUAACACGUGGGCAACCUGCCUGUAAGACUGGGAUAACUUCGGGAAACCGGAGCUAAUACCGGAUAAUCCUUUUCUACUCAUGUAGAAAAGCUGAAAGACGGUUUACGCUGUCACUUACAGAUGGGCCCGCGGCGCAUUAGCUAGUUGGUGAGGUAACGGCUCACCAAGGCGACGAUGCGUAGCCGACCUGAGAGGGUGAUCGGCCACACUGGGACUGAGACACGGCCCAGACUCCUACGGGAGGCAGCAGUAGGGAAUCUUCCGCAAUGGACGAAAGUCUGACGGAGCAACGCCGCGUGAGUGAUGAAGGUUUUCGGAUCGUAAAACUCUGUUGUUAGGGAAGAACAAGUACGAGAGUAACUGCUCGUACCUUGACGGUACCUAACCAGAAAGCCACGGCUAACUACGUGCCAGCAGCCGCGGUAAUACGUAGGUGGCAAGCGUUGUCCGGAAUUAUUGGGCGUAAAGCGCGCGCAGGCGGUCCUUUAAGUCUGAUGUGAAAGCCCACGGCUCAACCGUGGAGGGUCAUUGGAAACUGGGGGGACUUGAGUGCAGAAGAGAAGAGUGGAAUUCCACGUGUAGCGGUGAAAUGCGUAGAGAUGUGGAGGAACACCAGUGGCGAAGGCGACUCUUUGGUCUGUAACUGACGCUGAGGCGCGAAAGCGUGGGGAGCAAACAGGAUUAGAUACCCUGGUAGUCCACGCCGUAAACGAUGAGUGCUAAGUGUUAGAGGGUUUCCGCCCUUUAGUGCUGCAGCAAACGCAUUAAGCACUCCGCCUGGGGAGUACGGCCGCAAGGCUGAACUCAAGGAAUUGACGGGGGCCCGCACAGCGGUGGAGCAUGUGGUUUAUUCGA
rnacentral:rRNA from 1 species